rnacentral:rRNA from 1 species
AGAGUUUGAUCCUGGCUCAGAACAAACGCUGGCGGCGUGCCUAACACAUGCAAGUCGUACGAGAAAGUCCGCUUCGGUGGAUGAGUAAAGUGGCGCACGGGUGAGUAACGCGUGGAUAAUCUACCCUUUAGUCUGGAAUAACUUAUCGAAAGGUGAACUAAUACCGGAUAAUAUCCCGAUUUCUUCGGCGAUCGGGAUCAAAGAAGGCCUCUGCUUGCAAGCUUUCACUGAAGGAUGAGUCCGCGUACCAUUAGCUAGUUGGCAGGGUAAUGGCCUACCAAGGUUAUGAUGGUUAGCUGGUCUGAGAGGAUGAUCGGCCACACUGGAACUGAAACACGGUCCAGACUCCUACGGGAGGCAGCAGUGAGGAAUAUUGCGCAAUGGGGGCAACCCUGACGCAGCAACGCCGCGUGAGUGAGGAAGGUUUUCGGAUUGUAAAGCUCUGUCGAGCGGAAAGAAGUGCAUGGUGGUUAAUAUCCAUCAUGCUUGACGGUACCGCUAAAGGAAGCACCGGCUAACUCCGUGCCAGCAGCCGCGGUAAUACGGGGGGUGCAAGCGUUGUUCGGAAUCAUUGGGCGUAAAGCGCGUGUAGGCGGCUGGACAAGUCAGAUGUGAAAGCCCUGGGCUUAACCCAGGAAGUGCAUUUGAAACUGUUCAGCUAGAGUAAGGGAGAGGAAAGUGGAAUUCCUGGUGUAGAGGUGAAAUUCGUAGAUAUCAGGAGGAACACCGGUGGCGAAGGCGACUUUCUGGCCCUAUACUGACGCUGAGACGCGAAAGCGUGGGUAGCAAACAGGAUUAGAUACCCUGGUAGUCCACGCUGUAAACGAUGUUCACUAGGUGUUGGGGGUAUUGACCCUUCCAGUGCCGCAGCUAACGCAUUAAGUGAACCGCCUGGGGAGUACGGUCGCAAGAUUAAAACUCAAAUGAAUUGACGG